UCCUUCACCUCUGGACAAUCCAAGACCACCGUAAUUCUAAUUAUAACUGGAAUUGUCUUAAUGCUCAUGGUUGGAGUUGACAUUUAAGAUGUAGAGAGCCAAGACACCAACGAACUUUACUGAGCAGUGCCCCCUGCUGGCCUGCAGAGAUCCUGCUCUGAGUGAUCGGUACUGUGCGAUUUUGAUUGU